AACGAACGCUGGCGGCAUGCCUAACACAUGCAAGUCGAACGAGACCUUCGGGUCUAGUGGCGCACGGGUGCGUAACGCGUGGGAACCUGCCCUUAGGUUCGGAAUAACUCCCCGAAAGGGGUGCUAAAACGGGAUAAUGUCUUCGGACCAAAGAUUUAUCGCCUUUGGAUGGGCCCGCGUUGGAUUAGCUAGUUGGUAGGGUAAAACCCUACCAAGGGGACGAUCCAUAGCUGGUCAGAGAGGAUGAUCAGCCACACUGGGACUGAGACACGGCCCAGACUCCUACGGGAAGCAGCAGUGGGGAAUAUUGGACAAUGGGCGAAAGCCUGAUCCAGCAAUGCCGCGUGAGUGAUGAAGGCCUUAGGGUUGUAAAGCUCUUUUACCCGGGAUGAUAAUGACAGUACCGGGAGAAUAAGCUCCGGCUAACUCCGUG
rnacentral:rRNA from 1 species